CAGUAGCCGCGGGAAUACGUAGGUGGCAAGCGUUGUCCGGAAUUAUUGGGCGCAAAGGGCUCGCAGGCGGUUUCUUAAGUCUGAUGUGAAAGCCCCCGGCUCAACCGGGGAGGGUCAUUGGAAACUGGGAAACUUGAGUGCAAAAGAGGAGAGUGGAAUUCCACGUGUAGCGGUGAAAUGCGUAGAGAUGUGGAGGAACACCAGUGGCGAAGGCGACUCUCUGGUCUGUAACUGACGCUGAGGAGCGAAAGCGUGGGGAGCGAACAGGAUUAGAUACCCCAGUAGUCCCUGUCUCUUAUAC
rnacentral:rRNA from 1 species